rnacentral:rRNA from 1 species
CCUACGGUGGGCAGCAGUGAGGAAUAUUGGUCAAUGGGCGGAAGCCUGAACCAGCCAAGUCGCGUGAGGGAAUAAGGCCCUACGGGUCGUAAACCUCUUUUGCCGGGGAGCAAGGGCGGGGACGUGUCCCGGCCCGGAGAGUACCCGGAGAAAAAGCAUCGGCUAACUCCGUCCCAGCAGCCGCGGUAAUACGGAGGAUGCGAGCGUUAUCCGGAUUUUUUGGGUUUAAAGGGUGCGUAGGCGGGCUUUUAAGUCAGCGGUAAAAAUUCGGGGCUCCACCCCGUCCGGCCGGUGCAACUGGGGGCCUUGAGUGGGCGGGAGGAAGGCGGAAUGCGUGGUGUAGCGGUGAAAUGCAUAGAUAUCACGCAGAACCCCGAUUGCGAAGGCAGCCUUCCGGGGCGCUACUGACGCUGAGGCACGAAAGUGCGGGGAUCGAACAGGAUUAGAUACCCUGGUAGUC